AUUUUUUAAUAGAGAAAGGAAAAUUGAAAGGAAUAGUGCUACUCCGUGCAACUCAAUCUCUGUCUCAGUCUCAGAAGUACCCAAGAAACGAUUCCUCGGCGGUGCAAUCGUUGGAGUCCACCGUCAUCCACACCGAGCAUCGAUUUCCCCUUUCCUUUCGGAUUUUCUUUCGCUGCCUAAUUUAGCGGCAACCAAGCAUCUUCUACAACUUCCAUUUCCAUUCCGUUGAUUUUGCCGUGCCUCCGAUCAUGGAAGUUCCUGACAACUCAGAAGCCACCGUUCCAUAUAAUUCUCCAAGUCUAGCUGGAACAGUUAACUGGGGCACAGCAACUGUUGUUGGAGUAUUUGCUGGCAUGUUAUAUGGCGGUAGCAAGGAGGCAGCUGCUUCUGUUAGCAAGGAUGCAGAAGUUAUGUUGAAACUUGGGAGCACUGAAGACAAACGUGAGCAAUAUCGAUUGAUGAGAGAUGCAAUGGAGAAACGAUUCAUUCGAGUUACACGGGGCUCAAUAGUUGGAGGGGUACGUCUUGGAAUGUUCACUGCUGCAUUUUAUGGCAUACGAAAUCUGCUCGCUGAGAAGAGAGGUGUUCAUGAUGUUUUUAAUGAUGUUGGAGCUGGAUCAGCGACUGCUUCAGCUUUUGGUUUAAUCAUGCCAGGAUCACUCCGAUGGCGAGCAAGGAAUAUGGCACUAGGGCAGUGCUAGGAGCAGCAAUUUGCUUUCCUCUUGGUUGGAUCCAUCUGAAGCUGGUAAAAAUGGCUAACGAAGGUAAUCCAGCUGCACAUCCACACUCAGAUCAGAGAGAAGUGAAGAGUGGGGUUAGUGCUGCAAUUGAGAGGCUUGAAGGAAAUUUAAGUAAAUGAAAAGCUACUAUUAGGUGUGAUACCCCUCUCGUGGCCAGUACGCAUUGUCAUUUUUAUUUUCUCAGAGAAGUGGGGUAACUUUGAGUUAAGGGGGUUGAAUGGCGUUCAUGCCCUUUUUUAUGGAGGAAGUGAUAAUUCGAUAAUUUAGUUGAACGUGUUACUCAAGAAUUUUCAUCUUUAUUGCGCAAUAUGGGAUUCAGCUAUGAUGCUUUCGGUCUAGGUGGUCAGUACCUAGUAGUGUGCAUAUUCUUAAAGUGCUUAUGUCUUUGGAUUUCAACUAUUCUAGUAGCUCAGAGCCCAAAAAAAUAAAAUAUUUAAGUGGUGGUAAUAUCAUAGUACGAGUCAACUAAUGCAGACAAUCUAAGCCACUUGGUCUGUUAUCAAUGGAAGAACGUUGCAGAUUAAUAAUGUCAAGCCGCGGGACCUAGUUAACCCGUUCCAGCUUAGUUAUGAUUUCGGAGGACAUUACAGAAGAAAUAAUUGAGAGUGAGGGGAAUUACGGGUAGCUCCUUUUAGUGAGGGAAGCCACUGAGGUAGUUUUGUAUUCAGUUAAGGUUAUACCUUUGUAGCAGCUCUGCUCUGGGGCUUUCUUAUGAAAUACAUUGUUCUCAUAAAAAGCACUAUUCUCUAUUAUCAUCUUUUACUUAUCUGACAGAGAAGCUGAUUGCUGUAGGUUAGAAGGCUGCAUAGGAGAAAGUCCCAUGCUUCAAGUCCAUGCCGGGCUUGUUGCUUAGUAAUACACUACUACACAUUUUAUCACAUCUGAAUUUAAUUCGAAGGCGAGUCCUUCAUAUCCUUUUAGCAAUUAUUUUUAACCAAA